GACGAACGCUGGCGGCGUGCUUAACACAUGCAAGUCGAACGGAAAGGCCCUGCUUUUGUGGGGUGUUCGAGUGGCGAACGGGUGAGUAACACGUGCGUAACCUGCCCUUGACUUUGGGGUAACUUCAGGAAACUGGGGCUAAUACCGGAUAGGAGCUCCUGCUGCAUGGUGGGGGUUGGAAAGUUUCGGCGGUUGGGGUUGGACUCGCGGCUUAUCAGCUUGUUGGUUGGGUAGUGGCUUACCAAGGCUUUGACGGGUAGCCGGCCUGAGAGGGUGACCGGCCACAUUGGGACUGAGAUACGGCCCAGACUCCUACGGGAGGCAGCAGUGGGGAAUAUUGCACAAUGGGCGGAAGCCUGAUGCAGCAACGCCGCGUGCGGGAUGACGGCCUUCGGGUUGUAAACCGCUUUCGCCUGUGACGAAGCGUGAAUGACGGUAAUGGGUAAAGAAGCACCGGCUAACUACGUG
rnacentral:rRNA from 1 species